CGAAUAGAACAGCCGAAUUUCCAAGUGAAAACGGGGGAACCAUACGUAUUGUUGCCGCUGACGCGCCGCUCGUAUCCGGGCGCCGGCUCAGCCGCAACUUGGGGUGAAUUUCGAGACGUUUGCCGUCAUUCGAAUAGGGCCGCCUGUCCGGCCCGAACCCGACAGCUAACCUCGCAGGCUGACGGACUAGGACUC
rnacentral:sRNA from 2 species